CAGGUACCGGCCAGAGGGUCUCAACAACACUUUGCUCCCUCAAGGCUACAUCCGUGAAAAUGGCUCCCGCUGUGGGAAUGGUGGGCGGAGCCUAUGCUCCAAGGAUGGGGGAGGGGGAGGAAACUCCAACUGCCCAGGGUCAGCUUGCAGGUCAACUGGCGGCCACCAUGUCCUCUCUGUGACCUCCUCCAACACUUCCUUGCAUUGGGCAGGGAUUUCUGGGGUUCUGAUACUUGCCAGUCCUCAAGUGUGAGUCGUCUGAGACCUGUUCUCUGACCACUCUGUGGGUCUUGCAGCUCCCAGCUUCUCCAUCCCUUUCCUUGACCAUCAGGUGGGGGAAACCCCUGGCUGCACACCCAUGUGCCACCUCAGUGACACCACGGGCCCUGCGUCCUCUCCCUGCUGCUCUUCUGGAUCUUACUCUCUGGGAGGCAUAAUGUCAUUGGCCUUGAGUUGACAUUCUCGCAAGAAGAUACACCAAUGGCCAAUAAACACAUGAGAAGAUGCCCAAUAUCAGUCAUUAAGAAAAUGAGAGUCUCACUGAGCAGUGGCCGGGUGCCGGCCGCACCCAGGAAUGUUCGCAGGAUCGUGCUGCUGCCGAAGCCCAGAGACCGCG